rnacentral:rRNA from 1 species
UCGACUAUCCCUACGGGGUGCAGCAGGCGCGAAAACUUUACAAUGCGGGAAACCGUGAUAAGGGGACACCGAGUGCCAGCAUCAUAUGCUGGCUGUCCAGGUGUGUAAAAUACACCUGUUAGCAAGGGCCGGGCAAGACCGGUGCCAGCCGCCGCGGUAACACCGGCGGCCCGAGUGGUGAUCGUGAUUAUUGGGUCUAAAGGGUCCGUAGCCGGUUUGGUCAGUCCUCAGGGAAAUCUGAUAGCUUAACUGUUAGGCUUUCUGGGGAUACUGCCAGGCUUGGAACCGGGAGAGGUAAGAGGUACUACAGGGGUAGGAGUGAAAUCUUGUAAU